rnacentral:rRNA from 1 species
AGUUUGAUCCUGGCUCAGAUUGAACGCUGGCGGCAGGCCUAACACAUGCAAGUCGAACGGUAACAGAGAGUAGCUUGCUACUUUGCUGACGAGUGGCGGACGGGUGAGUAAUGUCUGGGGAUCUGCCUGAUGGAGGGGGAUAACUACUGGAAACGGUAGCUAAUACCGCAUAAUGUCGCAAGACCAAAGCGGGGGACUUUCGGGCCUCGCACCAUCAGAUGAACCCAGAUGGGAUUAGCUAGUAGGUAAGGUAAUGGCUUACCUAGGCGACGAUCCCUAGCUGGUCUGAGAGGAUGACCAGCCACACUGGAACUGAGACACGGUCCAGACUCCUACGGGAGGCAGCAGUGGGGAAUAUUGCACAAUGGGCGCAAGCCUGAUGCAGCCAUGCCGCGUGUAUGAAGAAGGCCUUCGGGUUGUAAAGUACUUUCAGUCAGGAGGAAGGGUGUGAAAUUAAUACUUUCAUGCAUUGACGUUACUGACAGAAGAAGCACCGGCUAACUCCGUGCCAGCAGCCGCGGUAA